rnacentral:rRNA from 1 species
UACGUAGGGGCCUAGCGUUGUCCGGAAUUAUUGGGCGUAAAGAGCUCGUAGGCGGUUCGGCAAGUCGGAUGUGAAAUCUCCACGCUCAACGUGGAGGGGCCAUUCGAAACUGCCGUGACUCGAGUCCGGUAGGGGAGUGUGGAAUUCCCGGUGUAGCGGUGAAAUGCGUAGAUAUUGGGAGGAACACCGGUGGCGAAGGCGGCUACCUGGACCGGUACUGACGCUGAGGCGCGAAAGCUAGGGUAGCAAACAGG